rnacentral:rRNA from 1 species
AUUGAACGCUGGCGGCAGGCCUAACACAUGCAAGUCGAACGGUAACAGGAAACAGCUUGCUGUUUCGCUGACGAGUGGCGGACGGGUGAGUAAUGUCUGGGAAACUGCCUGAUGGAGGGGGAUAACUACUGGAAACGGUAGCUAAUACCGCAUAACGUCGCAAGACCAAAGAGGGGGACCUUCGGGCCUCUUGCCAUCGGAUGUGCCCAGAUGGGAUUAGCGAGUAGGUGGGGUAACGGCUCACCUAGGCGACGAUCCCUAGCCGGUGUGAGAGGAUGACCAGCCACACUGGAACUGAGACACGGUGCAGACUCCUACGGGAGGCAGCAGUGGGGAAUAUUGCACAAUGGGCGCAAGCCUGAUGCAGCCAUGCCGCGUGUAUGAAGAAGGCCUUCGGGUUGUAAAGUACUUUCAGCGGGGAGGAAGGGAGUAAAGUCAAUACCUUUGCUCAUUGACGUUACCCGCAGAAGAAGCACCGGCUAACUCCGUGCCAGCCGCCGCUGUAA